rfam:Spirochaetes bacterium GWB1_27_13 gwb1_scaffold_508, whole genome shotgun sequence.
GGCAACGUCGCCAAGUGGUAAGGCCGAGGUCUGCAAAAUCUCUAUCAGCGGUUCAAAUCCGCUCGUUGCCU